UUGGUUGAUUAUGUUAGGUUACCACUUUCAGACGAUCCUGCUUUGGCAAUGGCAUUUUAUAGUGGUACGGCAAGCAGCAACUGUCCCACUAUUGCUUGUUAAUGGAACAUAUAGGAAAAAUAUUCACACGUAUCUUGAUUCCUCCAUUCUGCAGUAUCAACUACAGAGGUUGCAUGAUCAUGGCUCUCUCAAAGAUUCUAUAGUCAAGUAAAUGCAACUAUAGCCCUUCUCCAUCUAAUUCACUGUACAAGAGAGAGAAAAGUGGAUGUGGUGUUUGAUAUGACUACAAUUCCUGCUUUUCUAGUUGUGUUGGGAGUUUUGUAUAUUGUGUCAAGGCCAAGACGACCGAAGCCAAAAGUCAAUUGAUUUUUGCAGUGAUUUAGAGAAGAGAAUUAUGUUGUCUUGUUGGGAUUUGUUGUAUUAUAUAUUUUUAAGUUUAUGGAUUUAUAAUAUUAUAAUGAAUAUUUAUUGAGAAUUAUUUAGUCUCAUGGGGAUUUGAUAUAUUAUUUACAUUUCAA